AGCUAGAAGAAUUUUGUUAAGUAGGAUUUUAAUCAAUGAACAAGGUAGCCCCUUUGUCCUUGAACUUAGGGCGAUGGUCCCAAACAGUAUCAAGUUCUCCUCUCGUUGUGGCAACAGGGUGAAUUGUAUUGGAUGAUGAAGUAAUUGGAUAUUUUCUCCAUUCCUGAUCAACAGGAAGGAGCAGGAAGUGAAAAAGGUGAUGGAUAAAUCAAGGAGUGAUUCAAGAGAGAAGCAGCAUAAUGGAUUUCUCAAAGAAGCGGAGUCUUCAUGUCAGGUGUCCAAAGUUCUAUUAAUCUGAACUGGGUCAUGUGUGCCUCAAGUGAGAUCUCAGAAGGUUUGCAAUGUAUGGCUGUGAAAGUUGGGCCAUAAGAAAGGCUGAGCGCCAAAGAAUUGAGGCCUUUGAACUACGGUGCUGGAGAAGACUCCUGCGAGUCCCUUGGACUGCAAGGCGAUCAAACCAGUCAGUCCUAGAGUCAACCUUGACUGCUCUUCAGAA